UCCUGGAAGAAGGUUGCCAAGCAACCAGCAAACUUUCAGCUGAGAGCUGAUGUAUCUGGGCACAACAGUCAGAUUCCCCCCAUCAGUUGCAACUAACUUGAUUUUGAUGGAUUAAAAGAAGAUGAAAAUCUACUCAGCUCCUCCCUUUGAAGUACCGGGAUCAUUAAGUUCCAUAGUCAAUCAUCUCAAGCAAUGGACAAUGCAUACACCAGUCUUUUAUCAGGCACGUUCUUCUGCCAAUUCUCUUGGCAAUAUGAUAGUUGGGGUAUGGAAGUUGAAGACCACUCUAUUUUCAAGGCAUCAAGCUGGUAAACAUUGAAAUUUUGGCCCAGCAACUCAAAGCUGAAGAACUCAGCUGGUGACAAGCAACUCAUCUGCCACCAAUGGAGAGGCAUCUGCUGCAUUAAAGCAAAUUAUCUGGAAAGAGAGUACACAGUUUGUGGCUGGUCCUCUUGUUUUUUUUACUGUAUAUAUUACCAACAUAGCUGACACAGAAGAGAUGUACUGCUCUUGAACAUAUUUCUGUCUCUGUACUAAAACAUGGCUAAUCGUGUUUUAGAUUCUACUGACAUUCAUUAAAUUUGUGAAAGAUGGCAUAUAUGAGUACAUUUAACAAGAUUGACAGAUUUCUCUGCAGCUACUUCUGCCUUCACCUUUGCAAUCAAACCUAAAAAUACUGAUCCUCACACACUAAGGCCAACAUCUCUCUCUUGGCAACUUAAAAGUAGCCACCACGAGGGAGGAAGGCACUGGCUUCUAUAGUUUGGCAGAAUAUAAAUGACUCUUUCUAAAGAGCUUUUGUGGGUUUAUUUAACAAGCAGAUCAAGCCAGCCUCUUUUUAUUCCUGCAUGUAAGUAAUUACGUUGGCAAAAUGGGGAGAGAGUCAGCAAAAGUACAAGACAGAUUUUUUUUUCUGACUGGGAAUUCUGAGAGUUGAAGUCCACACCCCUUAAGGUUGCUGAGUUUGAAAAACAUAGGUGUAGAGGAUAGAGGUUUUGUGGGGGGGAAAUCACUUGUAUUCUGGAACACAUUCACAGUAUUAUUACCUUAUUUUAAUUUUAUUUAUUUAUAUCCUGCAUUUAUUACUUUUAUAAAUAACUCAAGGCAGCAACAAUACCUACUGUAGUACUCCUUCUUCCUCCUCUUCCCCAUAUAGCAACAGCCCUGUAAGGUGAAUUGGGCUGUGAGAAUGUGACUGGCCCAAAGUCAUCCAGAUGGCUUUCAUGCCAAAGUGGGAAUGGGAAGUUUCUAACCUGCGUCUAACCUGGGCCUUAUCCUGUAGACCAAAUAUACACAGUGUUAAGCUCUGCUUUUCCCUGUGUAUAUCUCAGAUUUCACAGGGGAGGGGCAGGGGGAAGAUGCUUCUUUUUCUUCCAACAGCUGUAGGUAACCUGUCAAAAGGUUUUUGGAGUGUUUUCUAUUUUGUUGUCAGUUUUCUUCUUUAGGGUGUUUUAGUUAUGUUUUAGUUUGCUUAUCUCUGCUACUAUAUAUUUUGUAAAUUUGCUGUCUUUGCUAUUUCUAGUUUAUAUUUUAAUGAGUAUUAAUUUAUUUAUAAAACGUAUUACCUAUGCUCGCAGGCAUGCAAGGGCAUAAAAUAUCCAGGUUCAUUUAUAAAAGCUGAUCCUUAGUAGCUCUUCCACAUGAUGCUUCAUGUUGCCUGGGGUUUGAGGACAAAUUAAAAUAACGUAGGUAAAACAUUUAAAAGUAAUGGAAAAGACAUUGUGGAAAUAGAUUUCAAUUUAAAAGAAAAGAAAGGAAUAUACUCCAGAUUGUUCCAGAUGUCUUAAAAGCUUUACAUUAAAGUAUGGUUUUUAUAACCAUAGUUUCUUGAAUAUGUCACAGUUGGCUGAGUCUGUACACCAUGUAAAGUCAAGAGUAAUUUUUUUUACAAAUUAAGGGCCGGCGGGGACAAUGACAUUGAAUGGUGGGCAGAACUGGACAAUCAGAAUCCCAUCCCUUUUUUUUCUGUGCUUGCAGUGUACGAAAUGCAUGUUAAGGCUUCUAUCGUCAGUCACAUCUGCUAUUUGGACAUCACACACACACACACACACACACAUACAGUACACACACCAAAUACCCUUGAGUUUGCACUAGAUGCUAGGUGAUGUGAGAACUCAUCAGACAUGCCAAUCAUUACCUAUUUUCUCUAACCAAAUCUCCAUUUCCUUGGAAAGAUAAGCAGCCAAACUUUUGCUGAACAACUGUCAAAACAAAACAUUAAGUAUACAUUAGAGAUGUGUGGUAACCACGCCCAAGAUAUUAACGUCUUCUCUUUUAAAGUAUUAAACUACUUUGUAACAAGAAGAGAUUAUUUUAAAAAACGCACACAGAGAUGAGAAAAGUGCGGUCUUGGCUUGUUUAUACCGCAACGUUGCUAAGCAUCAGCUGCUUAAAAUAAUCAUUUAACCAUUUUUUUAUUGAUGUAGUAUAAGCACAUGCUGUAGUAAUUUUGACAGUAUUCUUGAGAUAGUUGUUUAGUUGUACUUUUUAUCAAGCAUUAAAAAUUUUAAGAUUGCUUCAAAUUUUACCUGUUGAGAUGUUUAUUAAGUGCUUUAGGGACAGAUCUAGAAUACAGAAUUGCAAUGAGCAUCUGUAAUGUACACAGAUGUACAAAGGAGAUAAAAGGCAUAAAGGUGAAGAUGUUGUACCAAGAUCAGGAGACUCAAGUUCAAGUUUACUUGAAACCUUUUUUGGAGGUGCAAGACUGAGGGAACUAAACUCAUAGAGAGUAAAAAAGAUGACCUGGAUGGAGAUAAGCCAGAUCUGUUCCCAGAGGAAAUAGACAUGGAACAUCAAUCCUGAUAGAUAACUCCAUAGUUUCACAGGAUGAUAAGCAGA